CGGGCUGUAGCGCAGUGGCUAGCGCGCUUGGUUCGGGACCAAGAGGCCGGGGGUUCAAGUCCCCCCAGCCCGA
rnacentral:tRNA from 1 species